UACGUAGGGUGCAAGCGUUGUCCGGAAUUAUUGGGCGUAAAGAGCGUGUAGGCGGCCCGAUUAGUCCGCUGUGAAAGUCCAGGGCUCAACCCUGGAAUGCCGGUGGAUACUGUCGGGCUAGAGUCCGGAAGGGGCGAGUGGAAUUCCUGGUGUAGCGGUGAAAUGCGCAGAUAUCAGGAGGAACACCAAUGGCGAAAGCAGGUACCUGGACCAUUACUGACACUCAACUGCGAAAGCUAGGGGAGCAAACAGG
rnacentral:rRNA from 1 species